UGGGUAACCUGCCUCAAAGAGGGGAGUAGCCUCCUGAAAGGGAGAUUAAUACCGCAUAAUAUGUUUAAGUCGCAUGACUUUAACAUCAAAGGAUUUUCUUUUAAGAAAUUCCACUUUGAGAUGGACCCCGCGGCGCAUUAGCUAGUUGGUGAGGUAACGGCUCACCAAGGCAACGACGCGUAGCCGACCUGAGAGGGUGAUCGGCCACAUUGGAACUGAGACACGGUCCAGCUCCGUAGGGAG
rnacentral:rRNA from 1 species